rnacentral:rRNA from 1 species
UGGGGAAUAUUGGACAAUGGGCGCAAGCCUGAUCCAGCCAUGCCGCGUGAGUGAUGAAGGCCUUAGGGUUGUAAAGCUCUUUCGCCGGUGAAGAUAAUGACGGUAACCGGAGAAGAAGCCCCGGCUAACUUCGUGCCAGCAGCCGCGGUAAUACGAAGGGGGCUAGCGUUGCUCGGAAUCACUGGGCGUAAAGCGCACGUAGGCGGAUCGUUAAGUCAGGGGUGAAAUCCUGGAGCUCAACUCCAGAACUGCCCUUGAUACUGGCGAUCUCGAGUUCGAGAGAGGUUGGUGGAACUCCGAGUGUAGAGGUGAAAUUCGUAGAUAUUCGGAAGAACACCAGUGGCGAAGGCGGCCAACUGGCUCGAUACUGACGCUGAGGCGCGAAAGCGUGGGGAGCAAACAGGAUUAGAUACCCUGGUAGUCCACGCCGUAAAACGAUGGAUACUAGCCGUUGGGGGGUUUGACCUCUCAGUGGCGCAGCUAACGCCUUAAGCAUCCCGCCUGGGGAGUACGGUCGCAAGAUUAAAACUCAAAGGAAUUGACGGGGUCAUAGCUGUUUUCCU